GUCAAGUAAAGUUAAAAUUAUACUUUCAAAAAAGACAUCCUCAUGUCAACUGACACAAAGCAGGCAACUCCUAUAAAAUCUCUUAAACAAAAGUUGUGUCGCAUUGAAUAACAUUGGACAAGGUCUGCCAAGGAGCUGAAUCCACAAUGAUCAUCGCCGGUCUUCUUACUCUUCUUCUUGCAGAUUUUGCUGUUUGCACGACAAUACCAUUUGAGGUUUGUUCACUGAUUGAUAUCAAUAUGUAACUUGUUGUCCGUAAAUAUUCACGGCAUGCAUUUGUAAUAGCGAACGGAAUUAAGCAGAUAUGUUUUAAGGCAAAUAUAUAUCUUACUGUAAUUCAGCAUUAAGGGGUCUUUGUGUAGUGAACUGAACGUGAUUUGCAUCUGUCUAGCUGGAAUUUAUUAGAUGUAAUUUGAUGUAACAAGAACAAAAACUGGACGAACACCAAGAACGUCAAGAAAAGCAAUAUUAUGACUAAUAUUUCGGAUGUGACAAUUCAGUUACAGCAUUGAAUUUUGUUCAUUCUUAUACCAGAAUCCACCAAUGUGUGUGGUUUCAAGUGUCCAGUGUCACAGUGUCGGUCCCAUAUACAUUGUGUGAUGUAACAUUUGGUUGGUCAGUUUAUUUGUUAGCGACUGAUUGGGCGAUAUGGGAUCAGAUUUGACUUUAUUCAAUGUUGGACUUUUAAGUUAAUGAGUAAUGUUUACUGACGCAGUUUUUCAGCAAUUUGAUUUCCGAACUAUACGUAUAUAUCAUUUGAUUAUCUGUUUGUACUUCUUCAGAAAAAAUUCGAGGCUUUGUCAAAGCGACAAACAUCAAGCCACUCAACAACUAAAACCGGU